rnacentral:rRNA from 1 species
UGAGGAAUAUUGGUCAAUGGGCGAGAGCCUGAACCAGCCAAGUCGCGUGAGGGAAGACGGUCCUACGGAUUGUAAACCUCUUUUGUCGGGGAGCAAUAAAGCGUACGCGUACGCAGAUGCGAGUACCCGAAGAAAAGCAUCGGCUAACUCCGUGCCAGCAGCCGCGGUAAUACGGAGGAUGCGAGCGUUAUCCGGAUUUAUUGGGUUUAAAGGGUGCGCAGGCGGAAAGUGCAAGUCAGUGGUCAAACGACGGGGCUCAACCCCGUCUCGCCGUUGAAACUGUCUUUCUAGAGUGAGCGAGAAGUAUGCGGAAUGCGUGGUGUAGCGGUGAAAUGCAUAGAUAUCACGCAGAACUCCGAUUGCGAAGGCAGCAUACCGGCGCUCAACUGACGCUCAUGCACGAAAGCGUGGGUAUCGAACAGGAUUAGAUACC